rnacentral:lncRNA from 1 species
CAUUUGUCUUUUCCCUACGCAUGCUACUUAACUGACCCAUAUUCUUUCCGAAAAUGGAUCUCUCUGAUUAUAUGCCCCUUUAUGCCACUUUUCCUCUGCAAUUCAUCAAUGGUAAUAUGUUGUAGCUUCCUCGUGUACACAGCUCUGUUGUCAUUUGGGUGAUCCCGUGAUUCCAUUCCAUGGAGAUGUCAAGAGAUCUGGAAGAAGGCCAUGCUGAAUGGACCUCCGAAAGGAUUAAUACAAGCCUUGAGUGUCUCUGGAGACAGUGAAGAAAUGUAUCUUAAACAUUUGUAAUCCUGAUGCUGUCAUGAGCAAACUGGCUGUGCCUGAGAAAGCCUUGUAUCACAAGGAAUUGAGAUUAUUAACUAAUAAUUGAGAAAACUGACUUCUCAGAAUAAAAUUUGCGGAUGGGACUCCUAGGAUGUGUGGUGAGAAGAAUAGUUAUUAACAGAAUGUCUUCAGGAGUUUCUGCAAACUACCUUCAGACUCAUCUCCAGGGAGGAUCCAAGGUCCAGAGACAUCCCUUGCAGAAGUGUGGGACCCAAGAUAAAUUGGUGUCUUAUUCACAUACACUUUUCAAAAAUUCAGGUGAAAUCAUUUUCAAAUGAAUGACAAAGAUAAGUUUAAAGGGGGAAAAGAAUUCAAAAGAAAUACAAUGUGAAGCCUUGGGUUGAGUGGGUGGUCAAGGGAGAAAGGACAACAGCUCUAAUUUUAUUGUG